ACACACACACACACACACACACACACACACACACACACACACACGUUAAUAUACAUCACCUCACCUCGAGCUCACUCUAAACUAGUCACUAAUUAUUCCCUCAGGGUCUUGUGUGGUAGAGAGAGUAGUGGUGUGGUAGAGAGAGUAGUGGUGUGGUAGGUACAGUAGUGUUGGAGUAGGUACAGUAGUGUUGGAGUAGGUACAGUAGUGUUGGAGUAGGUACAGUAGUGUUGGAGUAGGUACAGUAGUGUUGGAGUAGGUACAGUAGUGUUGGAGUAGGUACUCACUGUGUAGUAGGGACAGUAGUGUUGGAGUAGGUACUCACUGUGUAGUAGGUACAGUAGUGUUGGAGUAGGUACAGUAGUGUUGGAGUAGGUACAGUAGUGUUGUAGUAGCUACUCACUGUGUAGUAGGUACAGUAGUGUUGGAGUAGGUACAGUAGUGUUGGAGUAGGUACUCACUGUGUAGUAGGUACAGUAGUGUUGGAGUAGGUACAGUAGUGUUGGAGUAGGUACAGUAGUGUUGUAGUAGCUACUCACUGUGUAGUAGGUACAGUAGUGUUGGAGUAGGUACAGUAGUGUUGGAGUAGGUACAGUAGUGUUGUAGUAGGUACAGUAGUGUUGGAGUAGGUACAGUAGUGUUGUAGUAGGUACAGUAGUGUUGUAGUAGGUACAGUAGUGUUGGAGUAGGUACAGUAGUGUUGUAGUAGGUACAGUAGUGUUGGAGUAGGUACUCACUGUGUAGUAGGUACAGUAGUGUUGUAGUAGGUACUCACUGUGUAGUAGGGACAGUAGUGUUGUAGUAGGUACAGUAGUGUUGUAGUAGGUACAGUAGUGUUGUAGUAGGUACUCACUGUGUAGUAGGGACAGUAGUGUUGUAGUAGGUACUCACUGUGUAGUAGGUACAGUAGUGUUGGAGUAGGUACAGUAGUGUUGUAGUAGGUACAGUAGUGUUGGAGUAGGUACUCACUGUGUAGUAGGUAAAGUAGUGUUGGAGUAGGUACAGUAGUGUUGUAGUAGGUACUCACUGUGUAGUAGGUACAGUAGUGUUGGAGUAGGUACAGUAGUGUUGCAGUAGGUACUCACUGUGUAGUAGGGACAGUAGUGUUGUAGUAGGUACUCACUGUGUAGUAGGUACAGUAGUGUUGUAGUAGGUACUCACUGUGUAGUAGGGACAGUAGUGUUGUAGU